AUUGAACGCUGGCGGCAGGCUUAACACAUGCAAGUCGAACGAGUGGCGGACGGGUGAGUAAUGUUUGGGAAUCUAGCUUAUGGAGGGGGAUAACUACGGGAAACUGUAGCUAAUACCGCGUACCAUAGGAUGAGCCCAAGUGGGAUUAGGUAGUUGGUGAGGUAACGGCUCACCAAGCCGACGAUCUCUAGCGGGUCUGAGAGGAUGACCAGCCAGACUGGGACUGAGGCACGGCCCAGACUCCUGCAGGAGGCAGCGGUGGGAAAUAUUGCGGUAGGGGGGCGAGCUGACACAGCCAUGCCGCGUGAAUGAAGAAGGCCUUCGGGUUGUAAAGUUCUUACGGUAGCGAGGCGUUAACUACAGAAGAAGCACCGGCUAACUCCGUGCCAGCAGCCGCGGUAAUAC
rnacentral:rRNA from 1 species